AAUGGAAUUAGGCAAUACAAAAGAAAUCUGUCCUGUGCUCGUUUCAGAAAUGUAAAGUGAUAAAGACUAAAAAAGCGCAAUGCUUUUUAAGUGGAGCACUUGGAUGAUUACCAAAAAGGAACCACUACAUCACUGCAGUUGACAGAAGACACUAAACCUCUGUGCAGUUUCUAGAUGUUCAGAUGCUUUCUUCAGUUGUAGAACAGACUUCAAAUAUGGAUUAAAAAUGUUCAUUCCAAAUUAACCAAGAAGGGAAUUAUGAACAACCCAUUCCUCUUCAGACUACCUCAACCUGUUCAGCAAUAUGUAGCACAGAAAGAAUCUCACGCAGAUCUCUGAGCUUUGGCAUGUUCUCUAGUAGCUGUGAGGUGCUCUCACAUCACCCAAGGCAGAAGAGUUUCAAGGGGCAGAAACUCUCAGCUUUGCUAUUUUCCUGGAAAACACAAACUUCUAUUUGCACUGUUACCAAAGAUGAACAAACAAAAGAAAUUGCAUCCCACACUGAACUGAAAACAACCCAUGAUUUCUGCCUGAAUUUCUUUAGCUCCAUCUGAUUUGUGUCUUGAUAAUAUUAUGAAGUCUUUUUGGUUUUAGAUGUCCAUGGUAUCUUUCAUCCCAGAACCUGUUGUUGUGUGCUCUGAAGGAUCAGCCAACAGUGGUAGCCAUAAUGCUAUAAUGCAUAAUUCUUCAAGGAACAGCACACACAUACUCCUCCAGGAUUUUCCUUGAAGAAGUUGCAGCUGGACAUUCCUGGUGCAUAUGAUUCGUCAAGUAGACAGAGGUGAGAAGGCAAAUCUACAGUGAUUCAAAUACCUUCAAGGACAGAAGUAAAGCCCUGCUGAGAUCUGAGGCUAUUGAUGCACUUCUCAGAGAUCAUUUUGUG